CUACAAUAUAUUCCAUUUUUCACCUACUAUAUUUCUUGAACUGUGGAAACGAUAUUUAGCUUCCAUUACAUAUUUCUGGGGAUUAACAGGAUUCACUUUUGAAGCUUAACAUCCAAGGGCAUAAUACUUCGCACAUUUAGCUGGAUUAUACCAAUGUGAACAUAGUCGCAGGGAAUGUCGAAGCCAACCGUGCCUCUAUGAUUGUGGUUGUCAUUGCUGCUUUGUUUGGAGUUGUGGUGUAUCUAAUGUCUGUUUUCACAUAACUCAGUCAUACAAAUCAAUCAGAUUGGAUGAUUACACACAGCAUUAUAUUUAUUCGAACUACUGCAGCUAUCAUCAAUUUGGUUUGCACUCAAUUAAUACAUUUUGUUUAAGAUAAAGCUGUUAUUUGCCUGACUGAAAUGGAACUACUGCAUACACGGACCGAAUUGGACCAGUGUUUGACAAUAAAUAUGUACUUCUUCCAAUUUGUAAAUUAUUAUACCUCAAUAAUUUAUACAGCUUUUUUGAAUGGCAAAAAUGUUGGUUAUCCUGCUAAAUAUUUGCUUAUAGUUAUAUUCAGUCUUCAUCGAGAAGAAUGUAGUCCGGAUGGAUCUCUCAUGGAAUUAAGCAUCAAAUUGUUCAUUAUAAUGGUUGGGUAACAAUCAUCAAAGACUGUAUUGUAUUGGUUUUUUAGUUAAAGCCAAAAACUAAAACUGUUUAUAUUUAAGUGUGGGUUGAAAUUGGCUGAGAACACAGGUGUCUUAGAUAAUUUGAAAUCAUCAUCCGGAGAAGAAGAUUUGGCCACAGUUAUUAAGAAACCUUGGAUUGAAGAUUACAACACUUUAGAUUGGUAACCAAGACGACUCUUCCCAGAAUAUUUGGGAAUGGUUAUGCAAUAUGGUUUUGUAACAUUAUUUGUUACUACAAUUCCACUGGCUCCAUUGUUUGCAUUGUUAAACAAUGUGUUUGAAAUGAGAUUAGAUGCAAAAAAAUAUGGUUCCUAUUAAUUUAUAUAUAGUAUAAUCUACAU